rnacentral:rRNA from 1 species
GAUGAACGCUAGCUACAGGCUUAACACAUGCAAGUCGAGGGGCAGCAUGGUCUUAGCUUGCUAAGGCCGAUGGCGACCGGCGCACGGGUGAGUAACACGUAUCCAACCUGCCGUCUACUCUUGGACAGCCUUCUGAAAGGAAGAUUAAUACAAGAUGGCAUCAUGAGUCCGCAUGUUCACAUGAUUAAAGGUAUUCCGGUAGACGAUGGGGAUGCGUUCCAUUAGAUAGUAGGCGGGGUAACGGCCCACCUAGUCUUCGAUGGAUAGGGGUUCUGAGAGGAAGGUCCCCCACAUUGGAACUGAGACACGGUCCAAACUCCUACGGGAGGCAGCAGUGAGGAAUAUUGGUCAAUGGGCGAGAGCCUGAACCAGCCAAGUAGCGUGAAGGAUGACUGCCCUAUGGGUUGUAAACUUCUUUUAUAAAGGAAUAAAGUCGGGUAUGGAUACCCGUUUGCAUGUACUUUAUGAAUAAGGAUCGGCUAACUCCGUGCCAGCAGCCGCGGUAAUACGGAGGAUCCGAGCGUUAUCCGGAUUUAUUGGGUUUAAAGGGAGCGUAGAUGGAUGUUUAAGUCAGUUGUGAAAGUUUGCGGCUCAACCGUAAAAUUGCAGUUGAUACUGGAUAUCUUGAGUGCAGUUGAGGCAGGCGGAAUUCGUGGUGUAGCGGUGAAAUGCUUAGAUAUCACGAAGAACUCCGAUUGCGAAGGCAGCCUGCUAAGCUGCAACUGACAUUGAGGCUCGAAAGUGUGGGUAUCAAACAGGAUUAGAUACCCUGGUAGUCCACACGGUAAACGAUGAAUACUCGCUGUUUGCGAUAUACUGCAAGCGGCCAAGCGAAAGCGUUAAGUAUUCCACCUGGGGAGUACGCCGGCAACGGUGAAACUCAAAGGAAUUGACGGGGGCCCGCACAAGCGGAGGAACAUGUGGUUUAAUUCGAUGAUACGCGAGGAACCUUACCCGGGCUUAAAUUGCAGAUGAAUUACGGUGAAAGCCGUAAGCCGCAAGGCAUCUGUGAAGGUGCUGCAUGGUUGUCGUCAGCUCGUGCCGUGAGGUGUCGGCUUAAGUGCCAUAACGAGCGCAACCCUUGUUGUCAGUUACUAACAGGUUCCGCUGAGGACUCUGACAAGACUGCCAUCAUAAGAUGUGAGGAAGGUGGGGAUGACGUCAAAUCAGCACGGCCCUUACGUCCGGGGCUACACACGUGUUACAAUGGGGGGGUACAGAGGGCCGCUACCACGCGAGUGGAUGCCAAUCCCCAAAACCUCUCUCAGUUCGGACUGGAGUCUGCAACCCGACUCCACGAAGCUGGAUUCGCUAGUAAUCGCGCUUCAGCCACGGCGCGGUAAAUACGUUUCCCGAGCCCU